rnacentral:lncRNA from 1 species
AUCUUUAAAAGCAGUCUCUUAUAAGUCCUAAACCUAGACACCAUUCACUGUGCACCUUCGACUAAGUAAGCCUGAAGACAACAUCCGACUUCGAAAACUCUAAAAGAUCCAAUAGAAAGAGCCCUCAGAUCUCAUAGCUACGCCAAAAUCAUGAACAGUUCACAGUAAAGGCAUUCACCAAUAGCUCUUGACACACCACCAAAAAUAAAUAAAAUAAAAUAAAUAAGUAUAUGCAUACACACACACACACACAAUACACAUAUGAAUAUUGGAAGAGAGAGAGAGAGAGAGAGAGAGAGAGAGAGAGAGAGAAUGAAGCAGGCGGUGUGUAAAAGCUAGAGAUAAAUUGAAAACCAGAACGGUUCAAUCAAAACUGAGUUUCCAUCAUUGGGCAAAUUAAAAAAGUAGCUCAAUGAAACCCAAGGAAAUUAUCUAAAACACUAAGCACAUUGAUUACAAAGGAUCUAACCAAGCUAUAAAUACCAUCCCUUAAGUUAUAACAAACAAAAAAGCUGUAAUUCAAAAAAAAAAAAAAACGAGAAACUCAGAUUUCAUCAGUAUUUGAAUUCAACUACAGUGAUUCUUAUGACUUUUAAAAAACAAUGUGUAUAUUCAGAGAUGA